GAUGAACGCUGGCGGCGUGCUUAACACAUGCAAGUCGAACGAUGAAGCCCAGCUUGCUGGGUGGAUUAGUGGCGAACGGGUGAGUAACACGUGAGUAACCUGCCCUUAACUCUGGGAUAAGCCUGGGAAACUGGGUCUAAUACCGGAUAGGAGCGUCCACCGCAUGGUGGGUGUUGGAAAGCUUUAUCGGUUUUGGAUGGACUCGCGGCCUAUCAGCUUGUUGGUGAGGUAAUGGCUCACCAAGGCGACGACGGGUAGCCGGCCUGAGAGGGUGACCGGCCACACUGGGACUGAGACACGGCCCAGACUCCUACGGGAGGCAGCAGUGGGGAAUAUUGCACAAUGGGCGCAAGCCUGAUGCAGCGACGCCGCGUGAGGGAUGACGGCCUUCGGGUUGUAAACCUCUUUCAGUAGGGAAGAAGCGAAAGUGACGGUACCUGCAGAAGAAGCACCGGCUAACUACGUG
rnacentral:rRNA from 1 species